AGCGGAGAAAGAACUAACAGGAUUCCCCUAGUAACGGCGAGUGAAGCGGGAACAGCUCAAUAUUAAAAUCUGCGGUGCUUGCAUCGUCAGAAUUGUAGUUAAGAGAAGUGUUUUCCCCAGGAUGCCUGCCGGCCUAAGUUGCUUGGAACAGCACGUCAUAGAGGGUGAGAACCCCGUCUGUGGCUCGGCGGGUGCCUGGUACGAUGCACUUUCGACGAGUCGGGUUGUUUGGGAAUGCAGCCCUAACUGGGUGGUAAACUCCAUCUAAAGCUAAAUAUUGCCACGAGACCGAUAGCGAACAAGUACCGUGAGGGAAAGAUGAAAAGCACUUUGAAAAGAGAGUUAAAAGCACGUGAAGCCGUUGAAAGGGAAACGCGCGCGGCUAGCAAUGUGCCACGACGGUUCAGCCGUUUUGGGUGGCGAGGUGGCUGCUGUCGGAUCCGAAUGGACCGCGGUAGUCGUCGUCGCUGUCCGAGACGCGGUGCACUCUUUCGUGGUACGCGUCAGCGUCGGUUCGCAGCGGGCGAUAAGGCCUUGUGGAAGGUAGCUUGGGGCUUGCUCCGAGUAUUACAGACGCAGGUGCUGGGUCUGCUGUGGACCGAGGAGAGAGAGUAUCGUUGCAGUGCAUGCCGCAAGGCUAGCUACCCGUCGUCUGUCUUGCUUCACGGACUGAGGACUGCUCGCAGUGCUCGGAUCGGCGGAGUGGUCAGGCGUUGGAGUGGUAUAAAUGCGCUCAGGACGCUGGCGUCCAAAUGGCCGUGCGCGACCCGUCUUGAAACACGGACCAAGGAGUCUAACAUGUGCGCGAGUCUUUGGGUGGAAAAACCCGUGGGCGCAAUGAAAGUGAAGGUCUCUCACGAGGCUGAGGUGAGAGCUGGUGCUGCGGUGCCAGUGCAUCAUCGACCGGUCUAGUCUUCUCUAAGACGGAUCCGAGUAAGAGCGUAUUUGUUGGGACCCGAAAGAUGGUGAACUAUGCCUGAAUAGGGUGAAGCCAGAGGAAACUCUGGUGGAGGCUCGUAGCGAUUCUGACGUGCAAAUCGAUCGUCAAAUUUGGGUAUAGGGGCGAAAGACUAAUCGAACCAUCUAGUAGCUGGUUCCCUCCGAAGUUUCCCUCAGGAUAGCUGGAACUCGUAACACAGUUUUAUCAGGUAAAGCGAAUGAUUAGAGGUCUUGGGGGUGAAACACCCUCAACCUAUUCUCAAACUUUAAAUAGGUAAGAAGCGUGACUUGCUUGAUUGAAGCCACGCAAUUCAAUGUGAGUUCCAAGUGGGCCAUUUUUGGUAAGCAGAACUGGCGAUGCGGGAUGAACCGAACGCUCUGUUAAGGUGCCAAAGUCGACGCUCAUCAGACCCCAGAAAAGGUGUUGGUUGAUAUAGACAGCAGGACGGUGGCCAUGGAAGUCGGAACCCGCUAAGGAGUGUGUAACAACUCACCUGCCGAAUCAACUAGCCCUGAAAAUGGAUGGCGCUNAAGCGUCGCACCUAUACCGGGCCGUUGCUGUAAAUGCCAUGCGGCAACGAGUAGGAGGGCGCGGGGGUCGUGACGCAGCCUUUGGCGUGAGCCUGGGUCAAACGGCCUCUGGUGCAGAUCUUGGUGGUAGUAGCAAAUAUUCAAAUGAGAGCUUUGAAGACCGAAGUGGAGAAAGGUUCCAUGUGAACAGCAGUUGGACAUGGGUUAGUCGAUCCUAAGAGAUAGGGGAGCUCCGUUCUGAAGUGUGCAAUUUCGCACCGCCUAUCGAAAGGGAAUCGGGUUAAUAUUCCCGAACCAGAACGCGGAUAUUGGCUUUCGGGCCAGGAGCGGCAACGCAACCGAACUGGGAGACGUUGGCGGGAGCUCCGGGAAGAGUUUUCUUUUCUUUUUAACGGGCCAUCACCCUGGAAUCGGUUUGCCCGGAGAUAGGGUUCGCUGGCUCGGUAAAGCAGCACACUUCUUGUGCUGUCCGGUGCGCUCCCGACGGCCCUUGAAAAUCCCAGGGAGUGAUUGAUUUUCGUGUCUGGUCGUACUCAUAACCGCAGCAGGUCUCCAAGGUGAACAGCCUCUGGUUGAUAGAACAAUGUAGGUAAGGGAAGUCGGCAAAAUAGAUCCGUAACUUUGGA
rnacentral:rRNA from 1 species